AUGAUUGGCUCAUCCAACGUAUUCUAAAUGAUAAGAACAUUUACCCGGCUCAAUCAGGAUUGCUUUAAAAAAAUACAUAUUUUAUUGUCACCACCGGGAAAACGUAGCAUUCUGCAUACUUACAUCGGAAGAUAAAUCAAGUAGUCUAGCCUUUGCUUCUUUGACAAUAUAGCCUAGCCAACCCAGGUACUGUAUUUUUGUAUAUUUAUUAAUAUUACGUUUUUGUUCCUUACAUAUUAGGUUGUGGACCUGUUCAAUUUUUGAGUCAAAGGAAUAAAAUGGAAAUCACAGUCACCAUUUUGGCACUUAUUGUGGGAUUAAAGUCGAAAGCCAUGUCAAGAACUCGUUUGAGCUGGUCUCUGUCCAGAAACCCACGUUGACCAUAAAAACUAUUACAUGGGGUCUGAAUUAGGCUGACCUAUAAAUCAAUCGACGCCAAAGGGCGACAACACAAGUCCGCUCCUGGACUACUGUCCUGCGUGAGUUUCCAGAAACAAAGAAGUAUGAUGUAAUUCAUAAUAUGUUCAAAAUAUUGCUGCCCACAGGUGCUUUGUUCAUAUUAUUGACAAGUAGCCAACAAUGCAGAUUGGUAAAUCAGUAGCCUAUGAACUAUGUCUGAUAUAAAAACACAAUUGCAAUCAAUUAGGGUUAGGGUUACACAAUUUAAAAUGUACACUGAAAAUUGUAUACAAUGAACGAAAACUCACCAGCUAAUGACUUCAAUAAAACGUUGAUAGUAAAACAUUUCCAUAUUUUACGCACAACUCCAAACGUUCGAGUUCCUUCUCGCCUAAGCUUUUCGUGUCGGUUGCUGGUUGAUUUAUCAUGUUUUGCAAGACUUUAAAACAUAUGCCUUGAGACCUUGCACAAUUUAAUUUGUCCUCCUUCAUUAAUUUAUUCUGACUACUGCACCACCCUCUGGGAGUAGUAGGAUAAUUACGCUACGGAAAAGAAUUUAGGUCGACUACUUUAUUCUCUUCUGACGCUAUCGAAAGCCCGCCUUCUUGCCCCUGCUCGUGCUCUUCUGCGUGGUAGUGAUGCUCUUUGCUCGAGUCGCAAUCUAAUCCCACAGAAAAAUAUCAUAACUACCUCAAGCGAACUGGAGGAAAGUAGCCUAUUGGUGUACAUCAACGAACCAGUCAACUACAUGAAUGGAAAACUUGUCCAUGAGGACAUAGCGCAACGACUAACAGGGCAGCCUUGCGGUUCCUCUCUAUGGAGCAUAACAUGGAGCAUCUGCCAGCCGGUAUGUUCCUGAUGAGGAGCGAGAGGAAAAGUGCGUCUGAAACUGAGGAAGGAGCCUGAAAUUAAGGAUGAGCUCUUUCUUGAGGGUUUUUCUUUUUGUAGCGGCUGUCACAGCCAGCUGGUCAAAGGCCUGCUAACAGGCUCUGCUUGGUUAGCGGCCAGCACUUCGUUUUGUAACCAAGAAGAUUACAUUGGGAUUAUUUGUUUUGGGUGGCUCUGAUCCAUCCUUAAAUGUUUUUAUAUAAUGAAAACAAGGGGAAACAAAAACAAAGCACACUCCCUUCUCCAAAGCAAGACUCAAUAAAUGAAUUACAUGUAAAUGCUAAUCUCAGACAAACAUGUAAUUAGUAAAACAUUGUUGUGAUGAAUUCGUUAAAUGUUUUUGCAAAACAGAAUCAUGUGUUGGUAAUGUUGCUUGGUUGAUGCGGAUAAUAGAUUCUGGGAUACUGGGAGUUUGUGAAAAUGGCUUUCAUCUGUUAUAAUAGUUUGACCACCAUUUAAAUUUGAGAUUUCGUUUAAAGUCUAUAACAGACCCCAACCAACCAACCAACCAAGUAAACAAACACACACAUACACACACACAAUAGUAACUGUGGUGCAUGGAAUUUCAUAUGAUGUAAAAGGUCAUCCUAAUACUAUUCUGUGGAUCAAAGCAUGGAACUCCAAAUAGACCCAUCAGCAUUUAAUCCCACAGUGAGGCCUCAGCUGUUGUCUCUUGUGGCUCUGCUUGGCUCUACUAAUGAACAGGC
rnacentral:lncRNA from 8 species